GGCGGCGCGCCUAACACAUGCAAGUCGAACGGAGUUUUUGAAUUGAUUCUUUCGGGAUGAUUUUGGAAAACUUAGUGGCGAACGGGUGAGUAACGCGUGGGUAACCUGCCCUGGAGUGGGGACAACAGUUGGAAACGACUGCUAAUACCGCAUAAGCCCACAGUACCGCAUGGUACAGAGGGAAAAGGAGCAAUUCGCUUCAGGAUGGACCCGCGUCUGAUUAGCUAGUUGGUGGGGUAACGGCCUACCAAGGCGACGAUCAGUAGCCGGACUGAGAGGUUGAUCGGCCACAUUGGGACUGAGAUACGGCCCAGACUCCUACGGGAGGCAGCAGUGGGGAAUAUUGCACAAUGGGGGAAACCCUGAUGCAGCGACGCCGCGUGGAGGAAGAAGGUCUUCGGAUUGUAAACUCCUGUUGUCAAGGACGAUAAUGACGGUACUUGACAAGAAAGCCACGGCUAACUACGUG
rnacentral:rRNA from 1 species